GUGCUUGCACUAAAUGAAACUAGAUACAAGCGAGCGGCGGACGGGUGAGUAACACGUGGGUAACCUGCCCAAGAGACUGGGAUAACACCUGGAAACAGAUGCUAAUACCGGAUAACAACACUAGACGCAUGUCUAGAGUUUGAAAGAUGGUUCUGCUAUCACUCUUGGAUGGACCUGCGGUGCAUUAGCUAGUUGGUAAGGUAACGGCUUACCAAGGCAAUGAUGCAUAGCCGAGUUGAGAGACUGAUCGGCCACAUUGGGACUGAGACACGGCCCAAACUCCUACGGGAGGCAGCAGUAGGGAAUCUUCCACAAUGGACGAAAGUCUGAUGGAGCAACGCCGCGUGAGUGAAGAAGGGUUUCGGCUCGUAAAGCUCUGUUGGUAGUGAAGAAAGAUAGAGGUAGUAACUGGCCUUUAUUUGACGGUAAUUACUUAGAAAGUCACGGCUAACUACGUGCCAGCAGCCGCGGUAAUACGUAGGUGGCAAGCGUUGUCCGGAUUUAUUGGGCGUAAAGCGAGUGCAGGCGGUUCAAUAAGUCUGAUGUGAAAGCCUUCGGCUCAACCGGAGAAUUGCAUCAGAAACUGUUGAACUUGAGUGCAGAAGAGGAGAGUGGAACUCCAUGUGUAGCGGUGGAAUGCGUAGAUAUAUGGAAGAACACCAGUGGCGAAGGCGGCUCUCUGGUCUGCAACUGACGCUGAGGCUCGAAAGCAUGGGUAGCGAACAGGAUUAGAUACCCUGGUAGUCCAUGCCGUAAACGAUGAGUGCUAAGUGUUGGGAGGUUUCCGCCUCUCAGUGCUGCAGCUAACGCAUUAAGCACUCCGCCUGGGAGUACGACC
rnacentral:rRNA from 1 species